rnacentral:rRNA from 1 species
CAGCAGCCGCGGGAAUACGUAGGGUACAAGCGUUGUCCGGAAUUAUUGGGCGUAAAGAGCGUGUAGGCGGCCCCGUUAGUCCGCUGUGAAAGUCCAGGGCUCAACCCUGGAAUGCCGGUGGAUACUGCGGGGCUAGAGUCCGGAAGGGGCGAGUGGAAUUCCUGGUGUAGCGGUGAAAUGCGCAGAUAUCAGGAGGAACACCAAUGGCGAAGGCAGCUCGCUGGGACGUGACUGACGCUGAGACGCGAAAGCGUGGGGAGCAAACAGGAUUAGAUACCCCCGUAGUCCCUGUCUCUUAUAC